AUGGAAAUGUUGGAUGAUCUCAUUGAGGAUUUGGGAUAUGAGCACAAAGUGAAAAUAAAGACCUAUUUGCUACUGCUUGGUAGUCAAACAAAUGAAGAUGAGCUUCGGUUGAUCUCAAAGAACAGUGACACAAGCUGCAUUUGCGCAAUGCAGAAUGGGAUGAUGUUUUUUAAAAACCCUGCUACACACUUGCGCUAUUAUCAGUCCUAUUUAGUGCAGAAGAGAGGAGAAGCAGGACAGUGGUGCAGAUAUGAGCAUUGGGCCAGAUCAGAGCAUUGGGGCAUGCUGUUUUGCAGAUGGCCCAACAGAGGCAGAGCAAUCGUAGAGGUUGUUCAAGAUGAUUUAGAGGAGGGGACUGAUGAUGACUCCUCUGACUCUGACUAUGAGCCAGAAAUAGUGGAUAGUGACUAUGACUUAAAGGAAGGUGAUGAUGAUUUGGUCAACGAUAACUGUCAAACCGAUGAAGAGAAGAAAAGGGAAGGAAAAUGGAAGUAA
rnacentral:rRNA from 1 species